UACGAAGGGGACUAGCGUUGUUCGGAAUUACUGGGCGUAAAGGGCUCGUAGGCGGCCAACUAAGUCGGACGUGAAAUCCCUCGGCUUAACCGGGGAACUGCGUCCGAUACUGGAUGGCUCGAGUUUGGGAGAGGGAUGCGGAAUUCCAGGUGUAGCGGUGAAAUGCGUAGAUAUCUGGAGGAACACCGGUGGCGAAGGCGGCAUCCUGGACCAACACUGACGCUGAGGAGCGAAAGCCAGGGGAGCAAACGGG
rnacentral:rRNA from 1 species